GGUUGGUCCCAGUGCAGUGGUGUUUACAACUAAUUAAUCACAACCAGUUACAGAUUCCUUUGUUCCUUCUCCACUCCCAUUGCUUCACUUGACCAGCCUUUA
rnacentral:Y_RNA from 1 species